rnacentral:rRNA from 1 species
GUACAAAGGUAGCAUAAUCRUUAGUUUUUUAAUUGAAAACUUGUAUGAAUGGUUGAAUGAGAAAUUAACUUUUUUAAAAAAAUAAUUGAAUUUUACUUUUUAAUUAAAAGGUUAAAAUAAAUUUAAAAGACGAGAAGACCCUAUAGAGUUUUAUAAUUUUUAUUUAAUAUUUUAAAAAGAUAAAUUUAAAUUUUAUAAAAAAAAUUAUUUUGUUGGGGUGAUUAUAAAAUUUAAGAAACUUUUAUUUUUUUUUUACAUUAAUAUAUGAUUUUAUGAACCAUUAUUUAAUGAUUAAAAAUUUAAAUUACCUUAGGGAUAACAGCGUAAUUUUUUUUACAAGUUCAUAUUAAUAAAAAAUUUUGCGACCU